rnacentral:ncRNA from 2 species
UCUGCCCAGUGCUCUGAAUGUC